GAUGAACGCUGGCGGCGUGCCUAAUACAUGCAAGUCGAGCGAAUGGAUUAAGAGCUUGCUCUUAUGAAGUUAGCGGCGGACGGGUGAGUAACACGUGGGUAACCUGCCCAUAAGACUGGGAUAACUCCGGGAAACCGGGGCUAAUACCGGAUAACAUUUUGAACCGCAUGGUUCGAAAUUGAAAGGCGGCUUCGGCUGUCACUUAUGGAUGGACCCGCGUCGCAUUAGCUAGUUGGUGAGGUAACGGCUCACCAAGGCAACGAGGCGUAGCCGACCUGAGAGGGUGAUCGGCCACAAGUGGACUGAGACACGGCCCAGAAUCCUACGGGAGGCAGCAGUAGGGAAUCUUCCGCAAUGGACGAAAGUCUGACGGAGCAACGCCGCGUGAGUGAUGAAGGCUUUCGGGUCGUAAAACUCUGUUGUUAGGGAAGAACAAGUGCUAGUUGAAUAAGCUGGCACCUUGACGGUACCUAACCAGAAAGCCACGGCUAACUACGUGCCAGCCGCCGCGGUAA
rnacentral:rRNA from 1 species